UAUUAAUGAUUAUCAUUUAAGACAGCAAGCUGUUAGAAUCAUUACCACAUCGGACAAAAUGCUAAGCAGUAUUUCAUCCCUCUUUAUGUUCUGAGUUCAAAUGCUGGCAAAGUCGAC